GAGACACGGUCCAGACUCCUACGGGAGGCAGCAGUGGGGAAUAUUGCACAAUGGGCGAAAGCCUGAUGCAGCCAUGCCGCGUGUAUGAAGAAGGCCUUCGGGUUGUAAAGUACUUUCAGUUGUGAGGAAGGGGGUAACGUUAAUAGCGUUAUCUCUUGACGUUAGCAACAGAAGAAGCACCGGCUAACUCCGUGCCAGCAGCCGCGGUAAUACGGAGGGUGCGAGCGUUAAUCGGAAUUACUGGGCGUAAAGCGCAUGCAGGUGGUUCAUUAAGUCAGAUGUGAAAGCCCGGGGCUCAACCUCGGAACUGCAUUUGAAACUGGUGAACUAGAGUGCUGUAGAGGGGGGUAGAAUUUCAGGUGUAGCGGUGAAAUGCGUAGAGAUCUGAAGGAAUACCAGUGGCGAAGGCGGCCCCCUGGACAGACACUGACACUCAGAUGCGAAAGCGUGGGGAGCAAACAGGAUUAGAUACCCUGGUAGUCCACGCCGUAAACGAUGUCUACUUGGAGGUUGUGGCCUUGAGCCGUGGCUUUCGGAGCUAACGCGUUAAGUAGACCGCCUGGGGAGUACGGUCGCAAGAUUAAAACUCAAAUGAAUUGACGGGGGCCCGCACAAGCGGUGGAGCAUGUGGUUUAAUUCGAUGCAACGCGAAGAACCUUACCUACUCUUGACAUCCAGAGAAGCCAGCGGAGACGCAGGUGUGCCUUCGGGAACUCUGAGACAGGUGCUGCAUGGCUGUCGUCAGCUCGUGUUGUGAAAUGUUGGGUUAAGUCCCGCAACGAGCGCAACCCUUAUCCUUG
rnacentral:rRNA from 1 species